GAUGAACGCUGGCGGCGUACCUAAUACAUGCAAGUCGAGCGAACAGACGAGGAGCUUGCUCCUCUGACGUUAGCGGCGGACGGGUGAGUAACACGUGGAUAACCUACCUAUAAGACUGGGAUAACUUCGGGAAACCGGAGCUAAUACCGGAUAAUAUAUUGAACCGCAUGGUUCAAUAGUGAAAGACGGUUUUGCUGUCACUUAUAGAUGGAUCCGCGCCGCAUUAGCUAGUUGGUAAGGUAACGGCUUACCAAGGCGACGAUGCGUAGCCGACCUGAGAGGGUGAUCGGCCACACUGGAACUGAGACACGGUCCAGACUCCUACGGGAGGCAGCAGUAGGGAAUCUUCCGCAAUGGGCGAAAGCCUGACGGAGCAACGCCGCGUGAGUGAGGAAGGUCUUCGGAUCGUAAAACUCUGUUAUUAGGGAAGAACAAAUGUGUAAGUAACGAUGCACGUCUUGACGGUACCUAAUCAGAAAGCCACGGCUAACUACGU
rnacentral:rRNA from 1 species